AUUGAACGCUGGCGGCAGGCCUAACACAUGCAAGUCGAACGGUAACAGGAAGCAGCUUGCUGCUUCGCUGACGAGUGGCGGACGGGUGAGUAAUGUCUGGGAAGCUGCCUGAUGGAGGGGGAUAACUACUGGAAACGGUAGCUAAUACCGCAUAAUGUCGCAAGACCAAAGAGGGGGACCUUCGGGCCUCUUGCCAUCGGAUGUGCCCAGAUGGGAUUAGCUUGUUGGUGGGGUAACGGCUCACCAAGGCGACGAUCCCUAGCUGGUCUGAGAGGAUGACCAGCCACACUGGAACUGAGACACGGUCCAGACUCCUACGGGAGGCAGCAGUGGGGAAUAUUGCACAAUGGGCGCAAGCCUGAUGCAGCCAUGCCGCGUGUAUGAAGAAGGCCUUCGGGUUGUAAAGUACUUUCAGCGGGGAGGAAGGGAGUAAAGUUAAUACCUUUGCUCAUUGACGUUACCCGCAGAAGAAGCACCGGCUAACUCCGUGCCAGCAGCCGCGGUAAUACGGAGGGUGCAAGCGUUAAUCGGAAUUACUGGGCGUAAAGCGCACGCAGGCGGUUUGUUAAGUCAGAUGUGAAAUCCCCGGGCUCAACCCGGGAACUGCAUCUGAUACUGGCAAGCUUGAGUCUCGUAGAGGGGGGUAGAAUUCCAGGUGUAGCGGUGAAAUGCGUAGAGAUCUGGAGGAAUACCGGUGGCGAAGGCGGCCCCCUGGACGAAGACUGACGCUCAGGUGCGAAAGCGUGGGGAGCAAACAGGAUUAGAUACCCUGGUAGUCCACGCCGUAAACGAUGUCGACUUGGAGGUUGUGCCCUUGAGGCGUGGCUUCCGGAGCUAACGCGUUAAGUCGACCGCCUGGGGAGUACGGCCGCAAGGUUAAAACCCAAAUGAAUUGACGGGGGCCCGCACAAGCGGUGGAGCAUGUGGUUUAAUUCGAUGCAACGCGAAGAACCUUACCUGGUCUUGACAUCCACGGAAGUUUUCAGAGAUGAGAAUGUGCCUUCGGGAACCGUGAGACAGGUGCUGCAUGGCUGUCGUCAGCUCGUGUUGUGAAAUGUUGGGUUAAGUCCCGCAACGAGCGCAACCCUUAUCCUUUGUUGCCAGCGGUCCGGCCGGGAACUCAAAGGAGACUGCCAGUGAUAAACUGGAGGAAGGUGGGGAUGACGUCAAGUCAUCAUGGCCCUUACGACCAGGGCUACACACGUGCUACAAUGGCGCAUACAAAGAGAAGCGACCUCGCGAGAGCAAGCGGACCUCAUAAAGUGCGUCGUAGUCCGGAUUGGAGUUUGCAACUCGACUCCAUGAAGUCGGAAUCGCUAGUAAUCGUGGAUCAGAAUGCCACGGUGAAUACGUUCCCGGGCCU
rnacentral:rRNA from 1 species